rnacentral:rRNA from 1 species
GAUCAUGGCUCAGGAUGAACGCUAGCUACAGGCUUAACACAUGCAAGUCGAACGGACGAUGAAGAGCUUGCUUUUCAGAGUUAGUGGCGGACGGGUGAGUAACGCGUGGGUAACCUGCCUCAUACAGGGGGAUAGCAGCUGGAAACGGCUGAUAAGACCGCAUAAGCGCACAGCAUCGCAUGAUGCAGUGUGAAAAACUCCGGUGGUAUGAGAUGGACCCGCG